rnacentral:rRNA from 1 species
GUAACGGCGAGUGAGAGGAAGAGCUCAAAGUUGGAACCUGUUUGGCCUAGCUAAANNNNNNNNNNNNNNNAGAAGUGUUUUCCAGGCAAGCCGAGUAAAUAAGUCCUUUGGAACAGGGCAUCAUAGAGGGUGAGAAUCCCGUCUUUGGCUUGAGCAUUUGCCUUUUGUGAUACGCUUUCAAAGAGUCAGGUUGUUUGGGAAUGCAGCCUAAAUUGGGUGGUAAAUCUCACCUAAAGCUAAAUAUUGGCGAGAAACCGAUAGCGAACAAGUACCGUGAGGGAAAGAUGAAAAGAACUUUGAAAAGAGAGUUAAACAGUAUGUGAAAUUGUUAAAAGGGAACCGUUUGGAGCCAGACUGGCUUGUCUGUAAUCAAUCUAGGCUUCGGCCUGGAUGCACUUGCAGGCUAUGCCUGCCAACGACAAUUUGACUUGAGGGAAAAAACUAGGGGAAAUGUGGCCCACUUGUGGGUGUUAUAGUCCCUUAGAAAAUACCUUGGGUUGGAUUGAGGAACGCAGCGAAUGCUUAUUGGCGAGUUUUCCAGGAAGGUUUUCUGAGGUACUACGGUAUCAAGGUUGAUCUUUUUGGUUAUACUUCUAUUCGCUUAGGUUGUUGGCUUAAUGACUC